GGAUGAACGCUGGCGGCGUGCUUGACACAUGCAAGUCGAACGCAUCGACAAUGCCUGGAGGCUCUGGAUGAACGGGCGUAUGAGAAAUCGUACAAGCGGGAAGAAGGUGCGGAAGGGCGACGUUGGUGAGUGGCGGACGGGUGAGUAACACGUAGGUAAUCUGCCUCAAAGUGGGGGAUAACUGUUCGAAAGAGCAGCUAAUACCGCAUAAUAUCCAGGCCAAGCCUGGAAGAAAGGCGCGAGUCGCUUUGAGAUGAGCCUGCGGCCGAUUAGCUAGUUGGUGAGGUAAUGGCCCACCAAGGCGAGGAUCGGUAGCUGGUCUGAGAGGAUGAUCAGCCACACUGGGAUUGAGAACGGCCCAGACUCCUACGGGAGGCAGCAGUGAGGAAUAUUGCACAAUGGGGGAAACCCUGAUGCAGCAACGCCGCGUGGGUGAAGAAGGCUUUCGAGUUGUAAAACCCUUUACUGUGGGAUGAGAAAAAGGACAGUACCACAGCAAAAAGUCUCGGCUAACUACGUGCCAGCAGCCGCGGUGAGACGUAGGAGGCAAGCGUUAUCCGGAUUUACUGGGCGUAAAGGGCAAGUAGGCGGUUGUUCAAGUUGGGCGCGACAGAUCUCGGCUUAACUGAGAGAGGUCGUCCAAUACUGAGCGACUAGAGGGCAGGAGAGGAAAGUGGAACUCCCGAUGUAGCGGUGGAAUGCUCAGAUAUCGGGAAGAACACCAGUGGCGAAGGCGGCUUUCUGGCCUGUACCUGACGCUGAGAGGCGAAAGCUAGGGGAGCGAACGGGCUUAGAUACCCCGGUAGUCCUAGCUGUAAACGUUGGAUACUAGGUAAUGGUGGUCAAGGCCAUCAGUGCCGAAGCAAACGCGUUAAGUAUCCCGCCUGGGGACUACGACCGCAAGGUUAAAACUCAAAGGAAUUGACGGGGACCCGCACAAGCAGCGGAGCGUGUGGUUUAAUUCGAUGCAACGCGAAGAACCUUACCUGGGUUUGACAUGCACGUAGUAGGGAACCGAAAGGGGACCGACCCUCGGGAGCGUGCACAGGUGCUGCAUGGCUGUCGUCAGCUCGUGUCGUGAGAUGUUGGGUUAAGUCCCGCAACGAGCGCAACCCCUGUUGCUAGUUACAUGUGUCUAGCGAGACUGCCGGUUUAACGCCGGAGGAAGGCGGGGAUGACGUCAAGUCAGCAUGGCCUUUAUAUCCAGGGCUACACACACGCUACAAUGGCCGGUACAAUGGGCAGCCAAGCCGCGAGGCGGAGCUAAUCCUAUCAAAGCCGGUCUCAGUUCGGAUUGUAGGCUGCAACUCGCCUGCAUGAAGUCGGAGUUGCUAGUAACCGCGCGUCAGCACAGUGCGGUGAAUACGUUCCCGGGCCU
rnacentral:rRNA from 1 species